CUUUUGAGUUAAAAAUGUAUAAUAUUUCUAAUAAAAAAAUUAAAAAUGAUCGUGGUAAAGUGUUCGAGAAAUGUUUGUAUCUGACCUGUGUUCGACACGCAACGCCACCCUAAUUGAAGUAUCCGUGGAACAAAGCCAAAAUCAAUGUCUUCAUGGAGGUGUAGAUGGAGAUAAAAAUGAAAUUCAAUGGUCAAUAGUUAAGUAGUGUUAUAUUUCUUCUGAUAGCAAAAUCAUUGUCUACAUGGAUAGGUAGAUGACUUUCUGCUAACUUUAUGUUUAUUCAACAAAUUUCUUCCUUCCUCAUCUACUGAAUAGUUUUUCUGCUGGAAAAUUUUGCACUUGCAUGUGAUGUUUCGCAAAUUAUGAGGGUCUGCAAAAUGUUUUCUAUCCACAUACUUUUGAUAUAUGAGGGGAAUCUUCAUUAUCUACAAUAAAUAUCGAGUUUGUUUGUUGGUGUGUAUAUAUAUGGUUGGUUGCAUCUAAUCUUCUAAUCCUCUGAAACAUUUCCAAGUGAUCUGCUCUAGAGAAUUCCGUUUAAAAAUUUGCUUAUGGAAAAUUCACAUCGAAUUGAGUUCAACAUAUACAAUGCCUUGCUGCCUUGUUAAUUUUAUGCCUGAAGAAACCAUUUAUUUUGUUUAAUAGUCAAUUUGUUAACCUUCUUUUUCUUGUCUUCCAUCAUAGAAAAUCAUACUACAUGUUAGAUACAACACUAAGAAACUGUUUAUCAUGCAGAAUUGUUCCUUGUAAUUGCUUGGUUCUUUUGUUCGUUUUCCUUACAGAUAUGUUUAGAACAGAUAUAUAUGACAUUGAAAGCAAGUAAAUUGGCUGAAGAAGCAUUGUAUAAUUCUACAUCGUGGAUUAAAUGUAUCCAUUUCGAUAGACAAAUUAUUUGCUACGCGGGCUUGUAAUUUCUUUUGUGAUAGAUUUCCUUUUGUUAACAUCGAGUAGCUUUAGUCCAGUCUAUGAUUUUGAUGAGAAAAAUUAAGGCAGUGAAACUGUUGAAGU
rnacentral:lncRNA from 1 species